rnacentral:rRNA from 1 species
UGCAAGUCGAGGGGUAACAGAGAGUGCUUGCACUUUGCUGACGACCGGCGCACGGGUGCGUAACACGUAUGGAACCUACCCUUGUCAGGGGGAUAGCCCGGGGAAACCCGGAUUAAUACCCCAUAGGAUUAAUAAAUCGCAUGAUAUAUUAAUUAAAGAUUUAUCGGACAAGGAUGGCCCUGCGUACCAUUAGCCAGUUGGUGAGGUAAUAGCUCACCAAAGCAACGAUGGUUAGGGGCCCUGAGAGGGGGAUCCCCCACACUGGUACUGAGACACGGACCAGACUCCUACGGGAGGCAGCAGUGAGGAAUAUUGGACAAUGGGCGAGAGCCUGAUCCAGCCAUGCCGCGUGCAGGAAGACAGCCCUCUGGGUUGUAAACUGCUUUUAUACGAGAAGAACCACGGCUACGAGUAGCCGUCUGACGGUAUCGUAUGAAUAAGGACCGGCUAACUCCGUGCCAGCAGCCGCGGUAAUACGGAGGGUCCAAGCGUUAUCCGGAAUUAUUGGGUUUAAAGGGUCCGUAGGCUGGCCAUUAAGUCAGAGGUGAAAAGCUAUGGCUCAACCAUAGUCUUGCCUUUGAUACUGAUAGUCUUGAGUCAUUUUGAAGUUGCCGGAAUAUGAGGUGUAGCGGUGAAAUGCAUAGAUAUCUCAUGGAACACCUAUUGCGAAGGCAGGUAACUAAAAAUGAACUGACGCUGAGGGACGAAAGCGUGGGUAGCAAACGGGAUUAGAUACCCCGGUAGUCCACGCCGUAAACGAUGGAUACUCUCUGCUCGGUUUUUAUAAACUGAGUGGACAAGCGAAAGUUUUAAGUAUCCCACCUGGGGGAGUACGUUCGCAAGAAUGAAACUCAAAGGAAUUGACGGGGGCCCGCACAAGCGGUGGAGCAUGUGGUUUAAUUCGAUGAUACGCGAGGAACCUUACCAGAGCUUAAAUG